rnacentral:rRNA from 1 species
AACGAACGCUGGCGGCAUGCCUAACACAUGCAAGUCGAACGAACUCUUCGGAGUUAGUGGCGCACGGGUGCGUAACGCGUGGGAAUCUGCCCUUGGGUACGGUAUAACUCAGAGAAAUUUGUGCUAAUACCGUAUAAUGUCUUCGGACCAAAGAUUUAUCGCCCAAGGAUGAGCCCGCGUAAGAUUAAGCUAGUUGGUGG